CAGCCGCCGCGGGAAUACGAAGGGUGCAAGCGUUACUCGGAAUUACUGGGCGUAAAGCGUGCGUAGGUGGUGGUUUAAGUCCGUUGUGAAAGCCCUGGGCUCAACCUGGGAAUUGCAGUGGAUACUGGGUCACUAGAGUGUGGUAGAGGAUAGUGGAAUUUCCGGUGUAGCAGUGAAAUGCGUAGAGAUCGGAAGGAACAUCUGUGGCGAAGGCGACUAUCUGGGCCAACACUGACACUGAGGCACGAAAGCGUGGGGAGCAAACAGGAUUAGAUCCCCCGUAGUCCCUGUCUCUUAUACA
rnacentral:rRNA from 1 species